rnacentral:tRNA from 1 species
UCCCUGGUGGCCUAGAGGUUAAGGAUCCAGCAUUGCCACUGCUGUGGUGCAGGUUUGAUCCCUGGCCGGGAAA